CGAGUUGAAGAGUCGAGUGAGGUCCCGAUGAGGUUCCAGUCCGCGCAUCUGUUAUUACAUCAUAAAUAAAAGUUACAAGUUAAAACAUAAAUAAAAUUACAAAAUCAUAUCUAUGCAGUUAGUUUCUUUUGGACUCUUAACUUGAGUUUCAUCACUCUAUUCUUCAGGCGGGCUCCUGACUUGCAAUUUCAUCACUUGUUGCUUGGUUUUCAAUCUCUUCACCCUGUUCUUCAGGCGGGUUCCUAACUUGCUAUUUUUUCAAUCUGUUGACUUUAAAUUUCUUCACCUUGUUGCUUGACUUUCAACUUCUUCACCUUGUUACUUGACUUUCAACUUUUUCACCAUGUUGCUUGACUUUUCAUUUAUUCACCCUGCUCUUCAGGCGGGCUCCUGAAAUCACAUCAAUACUAAAAAGAAAAAUUAUCCCAAACAAAGAUUAUUAUAAAGAGAUUUCAUUUGUCAGGAAAGCGAAGUUCCAAACACAGGAUUUAAAUUUUCCCCAGUUUCUCAUCAAAGGACUUUUGGGAAAGUCACAUCAUUAUAGGAAUCAAAGGGAAUGACUAGACUAAAAGGAACAUCUUAUAAGAAUCAAAGGGAAUGACUCAACUAAAAGGUACGUCUUCUAGGAAUCAAGGGAUAUGACUCGACUAAAAGGUACUUCUUAUAGGAAUCAAGGGGCAAGGGGAAUGACUUGACUAAGUCUAAUGACUCGACUAGGGAAUGACUAGACUAAAAGGAACAUCUUAUAAGAAUCAAAGGGAAUGACUCAACUAAAAUGUACGUCUUAUAGGAAUCAAGGGGAAUGACUUGACUAAAAGGUACGUCUUUUAGGAAUCAAAUGACUCGACUAAAGGCACAUCAUCUAGGAAUCAAGGGGAAUGACUAGACUAAAAGGUACGUCUUCUAGGAAUCAAAGGUAAUGACUCGACUAAAAGGUACGUCAUCUAGGAAUCAAGGGGAAUGACUCGACUAAAAGGUACGUUUUCUAGGGGUCAAGGGGAACGAUUCAACUAAAAGGUACGUCUUCUAGGGGUCAAAGGGAAUGACUCGACUAAAAGGUACAUUUUAUAGGAAUCAAGGGGAAUGACUCGACUAAAAGGUACGUCUUCUAGGGGUCAAGAGGAAUGACUCGACUAAAAGGUACGUCUUCUAGGAAUCAAAUUAAAUAACUCGACUAAAAGGUACGCCUUAUAGGAAUCAAGGAGAAUGACUCGACUAAAAGGUACGUCUUCUAGGGGUCAAGGGAAAAGACUCGACUAAAAGAUAUGUCUUAUAGGAAUUAAAGAAGAUGACUCGAAUAAAAGGUACGUCUCAUAGGAGUGAAGGUUCAAUUUAAGAAGUGUAUCACCUAGCAAAUGAAAACUAAAAUCCCUGGACAAGAAAGUGUCUCCGAGGGAUAUAGGAUGAUGAUUUUUUACAAUGACUUGAUUAUUAAACCUGUCCAACAACAUUGUUUCCUGCAUUUGUAGGAGUGAGGCAUUGCAGACCUUGAUAUUUAUGUUCCGAAUUCCUUGAUUUAAAGGUAAUAUGUUUCCUAUUUCAUCAAAAAAAACUUGUGAGUUAAAAAAUAUGGUGGCUGGCUUGUGGCUUUAGCUUUUGCGACAAUCGCUCUUGCCCCAGUCACAUUUAACCUUGCUUCCAACCAUUAGCAUAUGUCAUUGACUUGUUGAAUCAGUGAUCCAAACUCAUAUUAGGAAGAGUGACUCUGCCACAAACACAGUAUCUCUGCUUUGCCAUGUUUCUCAGUUAAACCCUUUGAACUAUGGUAUUUCCGUGGGUUCCCAGACUUGUCUAUUGACAAAACUUUCUAUAUGUCCUUUUUUCAGCUCACAAUUAUAUCUCUUUCAUGCGCUGGCCUUUUUGUCUUGCUUUGUACAAUUGAAGAAGUUGGUAGCCAAUUUUAAAAUCUUUUCUCACUUGUUUCGACAUGGACUAGACUCAAAGACAAGAGCGAAAAUGACCAUGAUUUUUUAUUUGGAUAACUGACUCAAGAAAAAUAAAAUAAAAAUAAAACAAAGAGAAGAAAGAAAAGACAAUGAAUGUACCCAUUAAAAAAAAUAAUGAAAAAUGUAUCUAAAAAUGACAGUUAACUCUAUUGAUUAUGCCAUGCAUUUUGGAUUAAGUUGCCUGAUCUUUCAUCUAAACCUUCUACUAAUUGUUGUUGAGUUAAUGACCUUGAAACUGAAUUGCUUCCUUGGGCCAAUUUGCAUUCAAAAAUCUCAUUUGGCUAGUGGCACCUUGAAGGGUUUUCGCCAACAAGCCUCUCUCAUCUUCUUUUCCUCAACUCACCAUAGUCUUAUGGUGUCUGUAAGAGUUUUCACCAACGAGACUCUCUUAUCUUCGUUUCUCUCAACUCAUAGUCGUCUUACGAUGCCCAUGAGAGUUUUCACCGAUAAGAAUCUCUCAUUUUUAUUGCUCUCUUGAUUUCUUAUGCCGAGGAAGACAAGUGGUUCCCAAAUGCAUCAUCAUAUCCCUUGCAUGCUUAGCCUUAACAUCCUCAAAGAUUGAUCCGAAGGUCUUUCUUUGGUUGUAACUUGGCUUUUGGAUAGGGUUAGAAAGAAGGGAUGGCAUGGGGCCCAAACGGCACUUAAAGUGGGGUAGGACUUACAAUUUUUAGAAACGACUCAAAUAAUGAGGAUUAACUUAUGCCCCAGUUUUUUACUAGGCAAUUCUAAAUUAUUUAUUUGGUUGGACCAAGCCCUAAGUAGGGCAUCCUACGUAUCUCACCCCCGAGAGAAAAGAAUCGGGUCAUGCGUAGUUCUGGCAACUUGUUUUGCUUGAUUCUGAUUUCAUUUUUCUUUUGACUUCUUUUUUUUUCUUUGUAAUUUUUCUGACUCUAAUUUACUUACUUUUUUUCUUCCUUCUUGGACACAUUUUCCUCUUUUUUUGAAAAAACUUUCUGACUCUACUCUCUUGCUCUAUACUUUUCUUUUGAACUUUAUUGGUUUUAUCUUGAUUCCAAAAAAGGGGUAUGAAAGAAAAUAACACUAAGGCUUAAAUGGGGUAGACAAAGGAUGACACAAUGUUUGAAUAACAGAAUAAAAUGUCUUUGUCAUAUCAAUCCUUGAAAAUGCACGUACAUAUCAUGCAAUAUAAAAGUGAAAGAUGAAGAUCAUUUGACACCUUAAAACCACUAUCUUUAAUUGAACAUGUGUGCUACUUCUUCCUCUACACUUGUCAAACAUAUAACUCCACCUUUGUUGUAUAUCCCUUACAUUGAAUGACUCAUACUUUCGUCGAGUUGAUUUUCUUUAUAUUCCUCUUGAUAGGAUCACGCAGACACUGUUUGACCUAAUCGAGACAUGUCUUUUAAUUGAUGACCAAGUUAUUCUUGUGAUUCUCAAAAUAAUUGCCUUAAUUUUUAGAAAAGGCUUCAACUUGUCACCAAAUAUCUCAGUACUCUACUAUUUUCUUAGAUGUUUCUCCUAACUUUAGCCCUCUGAUUCAAUGUUCAUGCUUAAACUGCAUUUUAAGAUCUGACUGAAAAUUCCGCAGGCAUGUCAUAUUACUAGAAUCAACAUAAAAUAUGUUGUAUAAAGAAAACAAACAAACAACACAUUUGAAACAUAAAAGGAAAGGGACACUUCAUUUAGUUGAAAUAAAAGAUAAAAGGGUUUGAACAUAAACGACGAAGGGACAAACAAGAUAGAUCUCGAACUACAACCCUGAAAUACUUCAAAAAAUAGAAAAGAAAACAAAACAAACUACCAGACCUCUUCCUAGUGGGGAGAUGGGUGACUUCUCAUUUGCUCAGCCUGACAACUUAGCCACUGGUUUGCAUAUCAACAUGACCAGAGCUUCCCUCACUGUCAAUGUUCUGCACCAUAAUCGAUCCAUCUUGAAUCAUCUUUUCAAUUUCCCUUUUCAAAUCUCAACAAUCUUUAAUACUAUGACCCUGAGCAUCAGAAUUAUACGCACAUCAUACAUUAGGGUCAAAAUUUCUUGAACAUCGAUUAAGAGUGCACUUAAGGAGAGGAGUGAUCAUGCUCCAUUGUACCAAUUUCUGAAACAAACUAGCAUACGACUCUCUAAUUGGUGUGAAGUUAUCUCUCGACUUCUGCCUCAUUUCAUCAUUUGGCUUGGAUAAAAAAUCAGGCUUAGAAGGGUUUUGGUAUAUUUGUGAAGUUAGAGGAUGACUCUGAAUUGUUGGUGUUUUCCACUGUGGGUAAGAUGGGGGUUGAUUAUGUGGUUGUGCAUUAUAUACUGAAUAUGGAGGUGGAGGAGCAGAGUAUAAUGGAUUUUAGGAGUGAUUAUGUGGAGCUUGGGCAUGACCUUGGGUUUGAGCCUGAGAGUGGCGACAACGGGGUCUUCUUGACCGUGCCCGCUGUCCAACUACAAUAGAGGAUGCAACUUCCUCAUUCUUUGUCUCCACAAUACUUCCUGAACCCUUUUGAAUUGCUUGAGUUGUCACUUUCAAUGUUGCAAAACUCACAAUGUGACCAGUCUUAAUUCCCUCUUCUAUCAUCUCCCCCAUUUUAAGGACCUCAAUAAAUGACUUGCCUAAUGCAGGUAACAAGUUUUGAUAAUAUAUUUCAUCCUGUGCUUGAAUAAACACCUUUGCUAUUUUGCUUUCUUUCAUUGGCGAUUUUACUCUAACAGCUUGUUCGCGCCAUCUGAUCGCAUACUUUCUGAAACUCUCAGUAUUCUUCUUUUUUAUACUAGUUAGGGAUUUUUCGUCAGAGAUCAACUCCACAUUGUAUUGAAAUUGUUGCACAAAUUCAUUAGCUAGGUUAUCCCAACUAAUCUACUUGUCAAUGUCUUGGUCAACAAACCAUUUCGAAGCUAGGUCUAAAAGACUCCCCCAGAAAUAAUCCUUGAGUAGUUCUUCCUUCCCUCUAGCGCCCCUCAAUUGGUUACAAUAGCGACUCAAAUGUGCCACUGGGUCCCCAUGUCCAUCAUAGUUCUCAAACUUUGGCAUUUUAAAGUCAGGUGGAAAGUUGACACCUGGAAACAUGCAUAAGUCCUUAUAUGAGACACUUUUGUAACCCUCAAGUCCUUGCAAGUUCUUCAUAGCCAGUUCCAAACUUCUCAAUUUUUUGGUCAUUUCCUCUUGUCCUUCUUUCAUAACAAGCUUCUCAGUGUUAGGAGGAAAUUCAAGUGGGUGAGUGUCACUGUAAAGACCAGUCAACUUGAAUGUAGGCUCGAAAGUGUACCGCUGAUCACCAGUAAUAUUCAAUCCAGGCUUUCUUGUAGAGUAGGGAGGCACAACUUGUGGACGAACAUCAAAAGUAGGAGCUUCAGGUGGGGGUGGCACCGCAAAAGCAUGAACAACAGGUGAAGCCGAGUAUGUGGUAGUCUUGGAUUGGGGAGUGAGGAAAUAAACAUUAGAAGUGGUUGGGUAUUGUUGCCCCAAAGUCGAUCCUGAUGCAUGUUGUGGCAUAUCAACAAAAAUGGGAAAUUGUGCAUAUGACACGAGAGGCAAGAUGGAAAGAUAUUCCAGAUUAUCAGUGGGAACUGGAGGAGGAGGUAACCCAUUAGCCCAAGCUCGAUGCAUUCCUAUCAUUUGCUGCCUCAAUUUCCGAAUCACUUCAUUAGCUCCUACAUUCUCACUUCUCAAACUCCCUAUCUGAUAGUGACAACAAACUCGGUAUCCUUGUUAGCCAUAACCUUCUCUAUGACUUGGUGCAAUAUGGAGGACCAGCUAAAAUGCCACAACCCAACCACCUCAAACUAACUGAACAAGAGAUAACAAAUGCGUUAGAGUCUAACACUUUCUCAAAAUCUCCCCUUUUUUUCUUUUUGAAAAGGUCACCGAACCCAAGAAGGCUACCUACGUAUAUCACCCCCUGAGAGAGGAGAAUCAGGUGUGCGUAGUUCAUGAAAUCUUGCCAAAAUGGUCAAAUAAACUCUUUUUCUUUUUCUUGAAACUUUAAAAAUAAAAGGAAAUAACAAAUUGUCAAAAGAAUUGACGAAAAUCUUUUUUGCAUUUUUCGGCUUUAAUAACCUAUACAAAAUGAAACCUAUGAUUACCAAAGAAAAGUCAUUUUGGAUUUUCGAUUUUGAAUUUCAUAUGAAAAUAAAACUUGAAACUAUUAAAGGAAAAUGUUUUUGUAGUUUUCUUUUUAGAGAUGUAUAUAAAACACUUACUUUAAAUAAAGAGUGAAGAAAAUCUUUUAGAAUUUUUCAAAUAAGAUCCCCGAACCAAAAAUAGGUUGCCUACAUAUCUCACAUCCCGAAAGAGGAGAAUCAGGGGUGCGUAGUUCAUCCAGAUUGGAAAAUUAAUGAUUAAAUAAUCGACUAAACCCGGACUUGAGAUACCAGACCACAAACAGAAGAUGAAAAACAUCAAUAAAAUCUUUUUAAGUUUUCAAUUUGACACUUAACCUAAAAAUGACACCAAUAAAUAUGCAAGGAAAAUCUUUUUUGAUAUUUUCGUUAUACGAAAUGUAUAAAACUUCUACCAGUUUUUAAAUUUUUCUUUUAUAAAAGGCUCCUAUUGAAAAAUAAUCUUUUUGAAAUUUUUGAAUUAUGAAUGCAUGCUAAAGGAGACAAAGCAAAAAACUUUCUGAUGUUUUUGAUUUUUGAGAAAUGAGUGCAAAAGGAAAAAAAAUCUUUCUGAAUUUUGAAUUUUGAAAAACAAAAGCCAUAAAGAACUCUGAAAACUAGAAACUCUCUUUUUUUUUCUUUUUGACUCACUAUUCUUUUUUUUUUUUUUUUUUUUACUUCUAACACAUGUUUUCCCCAAAUUAGUCCAUCAAAUGACCAUAUUACCCUCAAAGAUGCAACAAUUAACACGUAGGGAUGCUUUAGAGGCAAGUCUCCUACAAAAGGCCAAGUGGGCCCCUCUAGGUCUUCAAUAUGAUGCAUAUAAACAUGACCUACAAGGUGACCUACGUUGGGGUUCACUAACAAGGCUGUUCGGAGGAGCGUAUAGUCGAUAGUGGCUGCUUUGCUUUCCACCUACUCCAUAACAUCGAUGGCUCCUCCCCUAAAAUAAGGGUGACUCAACUAGAGGUCGUGUACAACACGUGUACUAUGGACUUGUUGCAGAAAGAAUGACUCGGGCUAUGCACAUGAUGCUAGAUAUAAAGCAGCAACACAUAAGAUAAAAUUAUAAACAAAGAGCAUGUAGGCACUCAAAAAAAUAACAAAAAGCAACGCAAAUAUAUGUCUAUACACGUAUAGUGACAAACUAAGCCGAUACAACUCCAAAUUAAGCUUGAAUUCUGAAAAUAGAUCUCCAACGGAGUCGCCAGAGCUGUCACACCCCUUUUUAACUCCAAAAAGAUAUUAUUUUAAAAGUUUGAAAGGGUUUUCGUUAUAAGUGACAAAAGAUAAAAAUUUGCUUCGAAAAGGACCUUUUAUAUUCAAAACUCAGAGUCGCCACUUGGCAUAAUCCGGUGUGCCAAGUCACCUUUGAAAAAUCCUUUUCAAAACGAUUUGACUCAAACUGGUUUGCGAACAGAGAUUUCAGCUAAGGAAUUCUGUUGACCGACGGAAAGGUGUUAGGCACCCCUCGAUCCUGUGGUUUGAACACGGUCGCUUGUUGGAGCGUAUCGGCUAAUUUGACACCACGAAUGUAUAAACCACACAAAAGCACGCAAAACAAUCAAUCAAGCAAAAAAAAUAAAAACAAUCCAAAAUUUGGUGUCCAGUCCAAUUUAUUACAAAUUGAAAUAGAAAAUACUGAAUAAACCUACACUAACCUAUACUAGUCCUAAAUUAAACUCUACCCGAUGCCUUGGGCCUUCAUCACAGACAUCCUCCGUGUACAAAAUACCUCAGGGCAUUCCCCAACGAAUAAACACAAAUACCUCGGGGCAUUCCCCAGCCAAAUGAAUACAUUUUCAAUGCAAGAAGACCACAAUCAUUCAAUAAUAUUUCAAACAUUCCACAAUUUAUAAUCCCUAAAUUUGCCUAUCACCCCUAUUGUUUGCCUAUCGAUUUGACGACCUAAUCUUGAUACUAUUAAGUUCGAUGACAUCAAUGAAUUAAAAUUAGUCCGUAUUCAUUUUUUUACUUUUCAAAUCCCGUCUCACUUUCAUUCUUGAUCAAUUAACCAAUUCCAAUACAGAAUCAACCAAUCAAAACUACGAUAAUCAUAGACGUUCAAACAUACUAUCAAAAAUUAUAUCAUCAAUCAACAUGAACCACGCAACUCACAACAUCACCUCACCAAAUUAAGUAAAACAAAGAGGAGGAGUUGAAGAAUUGGACCUUAGAAGAAGCUUUCAAAAUUGAUGUAUUAUUCCAAUAAAAACCCGGUACAAUCCGCGUCGAGAACCUCGAUUCAUACCUCAAUCACGAACUUGCCAACUCGAUCAAAACCCCAAAACAAUGGAGAAAACCACAAAAAAAAAAAAUCCAAAUCUCAAUUUUCGAACCAAGCUUGAAACGAGUCACGCUAGGUUUGCUAUUUUUGGUGAAGUUCGAACUCGCUGAAGCUCCGAUGGAUCUCGGCAGUCAGCGAAACAAUGUUUUCCCAGUGAGAUUUUGCCAGAGAACUAGAAACGAAAGAGAAUUCGAAGAUUUUGAGGGUGCGGAUGGUCUAAUUCCGGUAAGGGAAUACCGAUUUCGGUGAGAAACUCGCCGGAAAAACCAAACCAGCCGUCCUUUUUCUCAUGUAUUCCCUCUCUCCGAUCGAUUCUCUCCCUUUCUCGAUUUGGAUUGUCUUCUCUCCGAUCUCACGCUCAGAUUUGUCUCUCACUGUGGUUGUGUGUAUGUAUAAUGGUUUUGUGUGAAGGCAGGUGUAUUAAUGGAAUAAACUCAUCAGUGAUGGUGUCUAUAUAUUCCUCUUUCCCGUAUUCUAUAUGUGUAUAUGUUGAAUUGGGAUCUUUUUCUUUAUGGUUACCGUGAUGUUCGUCAAUGGCGUAUAGGUGUGUUCGUGCUAUAUGGGUCUUCUCUAAAAAUGGAAAAAUAUGGUCAGAAUGUUACUGUGGGGACAUCUAUAUUGUUAUCUAUUGUAUUCUUAUGUAUUCGCCUCCCUAUUUCUAUGUGAAGUAUAUGUGUAUAUUGUGAAUUCCAG
rnacentral:lncRNA from 1 species